AAGUAACUGAUGAACGCUGUCAAUUAGGGCGCCUGAUCAAAGCAGCUUGCAGAGCCCAGGCGGGGAUAGAGGCUUAGGUCAGAAUUGGCCAAGGUAUCUCAGAGGAAUACCAGAACGAUAUGCAGUUGGGUCACCGAGGCUGCUGGAAAGGGGGCUGCAUUGCAAAUGAGCACCAGCGCUGCUGCACACGGGCUCGACAUCUUCAUGAAAACUCAUGAAAAAGAGCAUCUGAUGCCGUUUCUGUGCGUGCGAUAGCAGCAAAUAAUCAUAGCCGUUGUUGAGGAUGCAAUUCUUCUAACCCCCCCCCCCACUUCACGACGGAGUUUCAACGUUGGAAGGCUCAAGCAGCUUGCAAGUGAAGGAAAGAGGAAAAGGCAGGAUCGGGGCAGGAUUGGCUUAUCAUGUGGAAAGGCUGGUGUGCGCCAAACCCGGAAAACUAUAAACAGGACAUCCUGGGACCAGCAGCCCAUGAGAAAAUUCUGCUCCAUACAAUGCACAAAAAGUUAAGAGGUUUGAAUUGCCUUUUUGGAACCCUUCACCCGUGACCAGAAGAAGUAGGAGAAGUCACAAAGCAGGGAUAGAAGCUUCUCCAACGAAAGAAAGAGGAAACAGAAAAAGAAACAAGAUCCUCUCUCAUCACUAUAUCAUAACAUGGUAGCUUUUCAUGUACAGCGUGAUUCUUUUAUUUCCCUGUCUCAGUGCCCAUUAAGACCAGAGAAGUAAUAGCUACAAUCCCCCCAAGGCUGGAGGGAAUAGCUUGGUUAAAAAUAAGGAGCAAACUGCCUGUAGAAAGGCCAAACUCUGUUACGUGUGGUCUAAAUCAGGGCUGGGCCCCUGAGAUGUCAUAGGCCUCCAAAUCCCAUCAUUCCCAGCCAACACUGCCAGUCACAAGGCAUGAUGAGAAUUAUAAUCCAACAACAUCUAGAGCAGCCUUCUGAACUCCCAUCAUCCCUUGCUACCAUGACCAGUUGUCAGAGUUAAAGGGAGUUGUAGUUCAAGCUGGGGACCCAGAGGAAAGCAAGCACCAGCAGAGCUGCCCUUUUGCUGGCCAGUGGCCAAUCAAUGGGGUCAGACUGACCUCCUACUUCCCACAAUGUUCUCCCUGUGAGGUAGGGGGUAGAGCCCCCUUGGUGCUCUGGCUGGUGUCUUCAGAACAAAUUGGGUGAGGAUGCAGGGCAUGGAUGCCAGAAGGAGGGGGGACAGUCCCUUUGCAGAAUCAGAAAUUAUUGUAUGGAUUUGAUGUGCUGGAUGCAUGCUGCCUAAAGACCACAACAAGCUUCCUUUGGUAUAAAUGCUGCUGUCUUCUCCUACAGCAAAUUCAAAUAGCUCUCUGGGAUCCUAGAAGGAUUAAAGAUAAUAUGAGAUCUGUUUCAGAUAAAAAGUUCUGCUACUGCUGAUAACCCUGGGCUACAAACUACCCCACAGACGCAUGUGCUUAAGACAACUUGGAAACAAAAGGACUUGAGAGUCAGCGCCUGGUGGGGCAGAUAAAGAUUAUAGUCCUUAUGUCCCAGAUUAAUUCUGCAUCUCCUCACCAAGUUGCUAGCUCUCUGCGUGUCUAGAGGAUCUCUGUAAAGAUAUCCUUUGAUCUGAGUAUUACUAAUCCUCGUGACUAAUGCAAAAGUGCUUUUUCGAAAGGAGAAGCUGUAAUUUGCUUGCUAUGAAAUCUAAUCAGAGAGGGCCGGAACAUAACUUUAUAGCAACCACAAGGAGAUGGAACAUUGUACAAAUAAGGGAUCUUGGGACAAGCUACUUAAGUAAUUCAAUUUCGGAACCAAAACAGAUUAUGCUGUUUGGAAGAAAACAAAACUGCUGUGAAGGAAAAGGUCCAAUCUCUCCGCACACCCUUUCCCUGUUGCUUCCAACUUUAGAAGUGGAGACUGGCAGCAGCAUAUUUCUAGCUGAGACGUUUGACUAGAAGCGAUUAUUCUUCUAGGUGACAUUUCACUGUAAUUACACGGUUCUUCAGUUAUACUGGAGAUAAUCAUCAGCGUGACCUUCAAGCGAGGGAUGUGGAAAGUGCCUUAUAAAAAAUGAUAGAAUUUCCGGCUUUAAACUAUUCUGGGUACGGAAGCCAAAAUAGAGGAGGGUUGGGGGACAUCUACUGCUUACUGCUGUAAACCAUUAGAUGAAAAAGAUAUAUAAAUAUGAACUGAGAAGACGUGAGGGAUUUGUUUGUACAAAUCAUAAUGUCUGUAACACAUCGGCCUUCCUGUAUUCUGGGCAAGGGAGAGAAGCACACUGAAAACAUGGCCUUCAGUUUCUGUGCUUCAGCCUUUUGUGCUGUGUUGGAUCAUGCGAGGAUAGCUUUUCUUUAUUCUCUGCCUCCGCUACCUUGACCAGGAGCCCAUGAAUUCACUGUUUUAUAAAGGGCACACAUAGUACAGUCCCAAAGCUGAGCACAUUGGUAGUGCCUCUGGUGAGGGACAUGUCGUGCUCCUUCUGGGGUCGUUUGUCCAUCUUUGGUCCCCACCCUGCACCCAGCUCUCACCUGUGGCUCCUAGAAGCUGUCAGCAUGUGGCAGUGGCCACAUCCCUGGCAGGCUAAACCAGGUGAAGGUAGCUGAUAGGUCUCAAACCCUUGGUGAGUCAACGACUUCACUUGUGUGUGAAAACAGACUCUGGCAGGUUGAGUGGACAAGACCAAUAGUGAGUCCAAUGGUCAAGAAGGCAGCUUCUGCAUGU